rnacentral:rRNA from 1 species
AUUGAACGCUGGCGGCAUGCUUUACACAUGCAAGUCGAACGGUAACAGGCCGCAAGGUGCUGACGAGUGGCGAACGGGUGAGUAAUGCAUCGGAACGUGCCCAGUCGUGGGGGAUAACUACUCGAAAGAGUAGCUAAUACCGCAUACGAUCUAUGGAUGAAAGCGGGGGACCGUAGGGCCUCGCGCGAUUGGAGCGGCCGAUGUCAGAUUAGGUAGUUGGUGGGGUAAAGGCUCACCAAGCCAACGAUCUGUAGCUGGUCUGAGAGGACGACCAGCCACACUGGGACUGAGACACGGCCCAGACUCCUACGGGAGGCAGCAGUGGGGAAUUUUGGACAAUGGGCGCAAGCCUGAUCCAGCAAUGCCGCGUGCAGGAAGAAGGCCUUCGGGUUGUAAACUGCUUUUGUACGGAACGAAACGGCUCUGGUUAAUACCCGGGGCUAAUGACGGUACCGGAAGAAUAAGCACCGGCUAACUACGUG